rnacentral:rRNA from 1 species
CCUACGGGGGGCAGCAGUGAGGAAUAUUGGUCAAUGGACGAGAGUCUGAACCAGCCAAGUAGCGUGAAGGAUGACUGCCCUAUGGGUUGUAAACUUCUUUUAUAUGGGAAUAAAAUGUUCCACGUGUGGGAUUUUGUAUGUACCAUAUGAAUAAGGAUCGGCUAACUCCGUGCCAGCAGCCGCGGUAAUUCGGAGGAUCCGAGCGUUAUCCGGAUUUAUUGGGUUUAAAGGGAGCGUAGGUGGAUUGUUAAGUCAGUUGUGAAAGUUUGCGGCUCAACCGUAAAAUUGCAGUUGAAACUGGCAGUCUUGAGUACAGUAGAGGUGGGCGGAAUUCGUGGUGUAGCGGUGAAAUGCUUAGAUAUCACGAAGAACUCCGAUUGCGAAGGCAGUUCACUGGACUGCAACUGACACUGAGGCUCGAAAGUGUGGGUAUCAAACAGGAUUAGAUACCCUUGUAGUC